rnacentral:tRNA from 1 species
GGGUCUGUUUCCCUACGGUGGACUGUAAAUCCAUUGCCGAAUUGUAGGGUGGCUGGCGAGAGGUUCGAUUCCUUGCAGACCCACCA